AUCCUGCGUGUAACUUACAAUCUAAAUGAGUCUUUCUGUCAAAAUUCCAAGCGUUAGAAUAUGGCCACAUUAUUAUAGAGCAAUAAUAUGAAGCAAGUGAUGAAUGCUAAGAAAGCAUCUAAUGCCAUAUCUAUCUUGCGGGGCCAAUCCAAAUCAUUUAUUCUAUUCUCUUCAGCUGCCACCAUCCUCUUGUCAUCUCUUAUCUUUACAUACUGAUUCUGAUUCCUUUUCAUACUUAACUCACUCCUCUGCACCAUAAAUAUACUGGAGAUGGGACAUAGCAGAGCCAGCAGAAGCUAAGAUACAAACCCAUCUCUUCGUGAAGGGUUUUAAUUUCUAAACCAAUAUGGCAUCAUUGAAAGCCGAGAAACCUGUUGGCACUCAACUUUUUGGGCAGGGCAAGAAGGAACCUGCCCCCAAGGCUACUGAUGGUGCCUCCAAAUCUGCAGGUUCUAAGUCUUCUGCGUCCAAGAAGGCUGCACCAAAAGAAUCGAAGAAGAAGGGAAAAGGUGGUAAAUCGGGGAAGAACUGAUCACAGAGCCUUGCACAGGAUGUGCUAAAGCAACAGUUAAAUUGAAAGGCUACAAUUAUUAGUUGUUUAAUGCAGUUAUAUGUUUUUAAGUUUUUUUAACUUAAAAAGAAAUGUGUGGCCAUGUUCUUGGUGUACGUAAAUAUAAGGCAGCUACUUGGACUACUUGCUCAAAUGAAAUAAAAUUUUGUAUUUGAAACUCA